GACGAACGCUGGCGGCGUGCCUAAUACAUGCAAGUAGGACGCAGUUGCGAACGGGGGAGUAACGCGUAGGUAACUACCUAUUAGAGGGGGAUAACUAUUGGAAACGCUAGCUCAUACCGCAUACUAGUAGAUGGACCUGCGUUGUAUUAGGUAGUAGGUAGGGUAAUGGCCUACCUAGGCAACGAUACAUAGCCGAACUGAGAGGGGGAGCCGCCACACUGGGACCGAGACACGGGCCAGACUCCGUAGGGAGGCAGCAGUAGGGAAUCUUCGGCAAAGGGGGGAAAGCCGACCGAGCAACGCCGCGGGAGUGGAAGAGGUUUUCGGAUCGUAAAGCUCUGGUGUUUAGGAAGCGGUACUUAACCAGAAAGGGACGGCUAACUACGUGCCAGCAGCCGCGGUAAUUC
rnacentral:rRNA from 1 species